GGGUAAGACUCCAAAAUAGCUCAAAUCUUCUGGUUUUUAUCAGUGUGCUUGAUCUGCAAAGUGCUGUUUAUGCUUUCUUCAUGCACUGUAUGAUCCAUCAUGUGCGCCCCGGUGGCUGGCCUACCAGCCCGUCUCUGCCUUGUCUACCAGCGGGUCUUAUUGGACUUCCAUC